GUCGGUAUCGAUUAGGGGUUAAAUCACCUCGUUGUGGUCAGCUUUCGCAUCAAAAGAUGCUCCGAGGAGCCACUGGUUCGAUUCCAGUUACCGACA